GAUGAACGCUGGCGGCGUGCCUAAUACAUGCAAGUCGAGCGAACAGACGAGGAGCUUGCUCCUCUGACGUUAGCGGCGGACGGGUGUGUAACACGUGGAUAACCUACCUAUAAGACUGGGAUAACUUCGGGAAACCGGAGCUAAUACCGGAUAAUAUAUUGAACCGCAUGGUUCAAUAGUGAAAGACGGUUUUGCUGUCACUUAUAGAUGGAUCCGCGCCGCAUUAGCUAGUUGGUAAGGUAACGGCUUACCAAGGCGACGAUGCGUAGCCGACCUGAGAGGGUGAUCGGCCACACUGGAACUGAGACACGGUCCAGACUCCUACGGGAGGCAGCAGUAGGGAAUCUUCCGCAAUGGGCGAAAGCCUGACGGAGCAACGCCGCGUGAGUGAUGAAGGUCUUCGGAUCGUAAAACUCUGUUAUUAGGGAAGAACAAAUGUGUAAGUAACUAUGCACGUCUUGACGGUACCUAAUCAGAAAGCCACGGCUAACUACGUG
rnacentral:rRNA from 1 species